AAGUCAUGUUGAGGGCAAUGUCGUAACAAUCUCUUGUAACAUUCCUAAGCUUCGUAUAACGACUCCCCUUCUAAUUAUUGAAAGUUAUGGAUAUUUCUCUUAAGCUU